rnacentral:lncRNA from 1 species
AGUGUUAGAGUUCAUUAAUUUGAGGUAGGGCAGCUGACUGUGAGGGAUUUUUCCCUCAAGUUUACUCAGCUAUCUAGGUAUGCUUCUCAUGUGGUAGCGGACAAUAGGUCCAAGAUGAGUAAGUUUGUGUUUGGCAUAUUUGAUAGUGUGGUCAAAGAGUGUAGAACCGCAAUGUUGAUUAGUGAGAUGGACUUGUCUAGGUUGAUGGUCCAUGAUCAACAGAUAGAGGAGUAGAAGAUUAAGGAGGGAGAGAGAGAGAGGAAACAAGAGAGCUAGGAUGAGUAGUUUUAAUUUUAAUUAGCCAAAGUCAGACGGUGGCAACCGUCCCCAAUUUCAUCAGAGGUCUACAGCCCCAGCACCCUCUUCAGCCAGUGCCCCAUACCCAAAUUUAGAAAUGACAAUAGGGAUAGGGCACCAGGCUAUAAGUCCCAGGUCAGUGUUAGCAGUGCUCGUACAAAUCCUCUAUGUCAGAAAUGUGGUAGACACCAUCAAGGUGAGUGCAGAGCGGAUAGUGAUGUGUGUUUCAGAUGUGUAAAGCCAGGCCAUCAGAUUCGGGAGUGUCGGGUAGUUGCUCAGAAAGGUAGGGAUGUGCACCAACAGGGCCAGUCCCAUCAGUCGUUAGUUUUAGCCGAUCGCCCGACUCAGCAGGGUCCUGCCAAGAUCAGGAAAAUUCUCCUGACGCAGUUACUGGUACGUUGUAGGUCUUUCUCUUACAUGUUUAUGCUUUAUUAGACCCUGGAUCUUCUUUUUCUAUUGAACUCCAUAUAUAGCCGUCAACUUCAGAGUCAGUCACGAAACUCUAGCAGAGCUCUUUGUAGUGUCUACCCCAGUAGGCGUUCCAUUAUAGCCAGACAGGUAUACAGGAACUGUUCUGUCAUAAUAUCUUAGAAAGUUACAUCAGUUGAUCUCGUGGAGUUAGAGAUGAUAGAUUUUUACGUCAUUCUCAGCAUGGAUUGGCUCCACUCAUGCUAUGCCACAGUUGAUUAUAGAAACAAAAUAGUUUAUUUUCACAUCCCAAAUGAACCAGUCCUUGAAUGGAGGGUUAUUACCACAGCUCUUAGAGGUUAAUUAAUUUUGUACCUUAGAGCGAGAAAGAUGAUAUCGAAGGGGUGUAUUUCCCAUCAUGUAUAUGUCAAAGACUCUAACUCAGAAACUCCAACUCUUAAGUCAGUUCCAGUAGUAAAUGAAUGAAUUCUCCGAUGUAUUUCUAGAAGAUCUGCCCCGGAGUUCCUCCCCAAAGGGAAAUCGACUUCAGAAUAGACCUUCUCCUAGAUACUCAGACUAUAUAUAUUCCACCAUACAAAAUGGCUCCAGCUGAACUCAAAGAAUUAAAAAAACAGUUGAAGGAUCUUUUAGAUAAGGGGUUCAUCAAACCCAGCAUCUCCCCAUAGGGUGCACCUGUUCUAUUCGAGCGUAAGAAAGAUGGUUCUCUCAAAAUAUGCAUAGACCACCGUCAGCUGAACAAAGUCAUAGUCAAGAAUAAAUAGCCACUUCCUAGAAUUUAUGACUUAUUUGAUCAACUCUAGGGUGCCAGCUAUUUUUCAAAGAUAGACCUCAUAUCAAUCUAUCAUCAGCUCAGGGUCAGAAAAUGUAACAUUCCAAAAAUAGCUUUCCAAACCCUGUAUAGUCACUUUUAAUUUCUAGUCAUGUCCUUUGGUCUUAUCAAUGCUCCAACAGCCUUCAUGGACCUGAUGAACCGAGUGUUCAAACAGUACUUGGACAUGUUCGUCAUAGUCUUCAUUGAUAACAUUCUCAUUUACUCUUGUAGUGAAAAUGAUUAUGGAGACCACCUCAGAAUAGUACUUCAGACUCUUAGAGCUCACCAGUUGUUCGCUAAAUUCAAUAGGUCUGAAUUCUAGCUAAGAUCAGUAGCUUUCCUUGGCCAUAUUAUUUUUGGUAAUGGCAUUAGAGUUGACCCUCAAAAGACCGAAGAGGUGAAAAACUAUCCUGGACCCAUCUCUCCAUCAUAUAUCAGGAGUUUCUUGGCUUUAGCUAGCUAUUACCGUUGGUUUGUUGAAGGGUUUUCUAUUGCAUCCCCCAUGUUUAGAUUGAAUCAGAAGAAAGUUAAGUUUCAGUGACCAGAUUCAUGCGAGAAGAGUUUUCAGGAGUUGAAGACUCGACUCACCUCAGCCCCAGUCUUGACUCUACCAGAUUGUUCAGAUGGUUUUAUGGUGUACUGUGAUGCAUCCAAAGUAGGUUUAGGUUGUGUCCUCAUGCAGUGAGGUAAGUUCAUAGCCUAUGCCUCUAGACAGCUUAAACCCCAUGAAAAGAAUAACCCUACUCAUGAUCUUGAGUUAGCAGCUGUAGUGUUUGACUUAAAGAUUUGGAGGCAUUACUUGUAGGCGGUGCAUGUAGAUGUGUUCACAUAUCACAAAAGCCUUCAGCAUGUGUUCUCUCAGAAAGAUUUAAAUCUGCAUCAGAGAAGGUGGUUAGAGUUAUUGAAGGAUUAUGACAUAAGUUUUUUGUAUCAUCCGGGCAAGGCCAAUGUAGUGGUUGAUGCUUUAAGUAGAUUGUCUAUGUGCAGUGUUGCUUAUGUUGAGGAUGGUAAGAAGAAGUUAGCUCAGGAAGUUCAUCAUCUUACCCGACUAGGUGUCUACUUGAUGCUCUAAGUAGAUUGUCUAUGUGCAGUGUUGCUUAUGUUGAGGAUGGUAAGAAGAAGUUAGCUCAGGAAGUUCAUCAUCUUACCCGACUAGGUGUCUACUUAGUUGACUCAACAGAGGGUAGUGUGUGGGUACAGAGUAGCGCUAAAUCAUCUCUAGUUUCUGAGGUGAAGGAAAAACAAGAUAGAGAACCCAGUCUAGUUAAGUUGAAAGAAUCAGUUAGAGAUCAGAAACCUAGUAGGUCCGUGCAGGAGUUCAGUAUUCCCACUUGUAAGUGGGAGAAAGUGAACAUAGAUUUUAUGAUAGGUUUGCCUCGUACCCGUCAUCAGCAUGAUUCUAUUUGGAUUAUCGUAGACAGGAUGACCAAAUUAGCUUAUUUCUUGCCAGUACAUCUUAUUUAGCUAAGGACUAUGCCAAACUCAAUAUCAGAGAGUUGGUUAGGUUGCACGGUGUUACCUUAUCCAUCAUCUCUGAUAGAGGUACCCAUUUUACCUCACACUUUUGGAAGGUAUUCUAAAAAGGUCUAUGUAACCAAGUCCACCUCAGUACAGCUUUUCACCCUCAAACAGACGAUCAAGCAGAAAGGACCAUUCAGACUCUUGAUAUACUGAGAGCAUGCGUUGUUACUUUCAAGGGUAGUUUGGAUAUUUUCCUUUAAUUGAAUUCACAUACAAUAACAGCUAUCAUUCCAGUAUCCGUAUAGCUCCAUUUGAGGCUCUCUAUGGUAGGAAAUGUAGAUCUCCAAUUGGUUAGUUUGAAGUAGGUGAGGUCGCAGUAGUAGGGCCUGACUUGGUGUUUGAUGCAUUAGAGAAGGUUCAGUUGAUCAAAGAAAGGCUUAAGGCUUCCCAGAGCCAACAGAAGUCGUAUACGGAUCUGAGGAGAAAGGAUCUCGAGUUUGAGAUCGGUGAUUUCAUAUACUUAAAAAUCUAUGCCAUGAAAGGAGUGACGAGAUUCGGUAAGAAAGAGAAACUCAGUCCCGAUAUGUCGAUCCCUUUAGAAUUCUAUCAUUUUGGGCAGGUAGCUUACGAGCCUGAGUUGCCUUUAGAUUUAGCCUCAGUACACCCAGUGUUCCAUGUCUUGUUAUCGAAAAAGUGUAUUGGUGAUCAAGCGGUACUUGUUCCCUUAGAAAGUAUAGAGAUUGAGAAUAAUCUUUCCUUUGAGGAAGUUCCAGUUGAAAUUCUUGAUCAUCAAGUUCGUAGACUAAGGAACAAAGAAAUUCCACUAGUUAAAGUUCUUUGGUAGAAUCAGUCCAUUGAGGGAGCCACUUGAGAAGUAGAGGCAUAUAUGCGGACCAAGUACCCUCAUCUUUUCUCCACAAAUCCAGAUUCAGUAUAAGGUACUAAUCUUCUUAAGAUUUCUCUCUAUCAUGCUCAGUUUCAACUGCACAUCAUAUUCAUGUCAGUCGUGCAUUCAUGAAUCAGUUCAACCAUGCAUUCCAUGCAUCAGAUAUUCAUGUUCAAUGUGUAAGCUUAGUCCAUCAGUUUCCUCAGCUUAACCAGUUUCAUUCGAGGACGAAUGAUCCCAAGGGGGAGAUAUUGUAACAACUCGUAUUUCUCGAGCAUAAUCUAAGUCCAAAUACGUUAGUAUUCAUAUAUAAAUUUUUGAAAUACUCAUUAUUUUUAAGUAUAGAUCCUGCCAUGGUGUAGGAAAUUCAAUUAGCUUUCAAACGAUAUAAAUUCGUCGAAAUUCGAUAACUAGGUAAGAAGUUAUCGAGAUUUUAACUUUCAAUCGUUAGACCCCGUCAUUUUAACCCUUAGCGCAUCUGGAUCUAGGAGGUGCGCGAUCUUGGCGCAUCGUACUAAAGGCCAAAUUGGCAUUUGGCAGUUUCCAGUGUCUCUCCAUGAUUCCACCGCGUCGCAAUGAACUUCCAAGUCCCAAUUAGCGAAAGACCAUGAUUUUUCCCACGUCGCACCACAAACCAGUUUCCCAGUUGUCCAAUUCCAGUGGAUUGGAGCGCUAGUGGCGCGUCGUGCCAAGGCCCAAAAUUGGGAUCUUCAGUUUUUAGCUUCCAUUUUUAAAUUUGUUCAGGGGUAUUUGGGUCUUUUUUCACGGCCAUAAUUAACCUAAAACACAAAAUUUAAACCCUAAACACCCUAAGUAGUCAUCAUAAUUUUAGUUCCUCUCACAAUCAAAAAUCUCCCUUUCAAGAACAAGAAACCCUAGCUUUCAAAUUCAAGACCAAUCCUCAAAAACUCACCCAAAACUUCAAGAAAUUCAGUAUCCCAGAUAUGUUAGAUGUUUAUCCAUGGAUUCCGUUUGUCCAUGGAGUCCAAGUAACCUAUUUAUUUACAAGUUUUGAUCUUUUCAAGUUAUUAUAUUUUAAAUUAUGAUUUCACCCAUGAACCUCCAUGUACUAUUUAUUUUGUACGAUGUUACCAUGAGAUUAUUGAUAUCAUUCAAUUCUUCAUGUUUUUAUAUUAUUGUUUAUUGAAUUAAACCAUAAUUUAGAUCUAUUAUGUUGAAUUCAUGCUAUUCCAUAUGUUUUAUGACAUUCCUAUGAUUGUUUUAACCAUGAACUACAAGCGUUUGAUAAAAUUCUUACAAGAGUGAUUUAUUUAAUAAAAGCCUUCAUGUUUUGAUCUUCAAACUUUAGUGUCAUUUUACUAUUAUUGUUUUGAGUCUUGGGGGUAUUGACUACCUGAAACCAUAGAUAUUUAUGCAGUCUAGUAUCAGUACAUUACAGAAUAUUCUUCAAAACAUACUAUGAGCAUUAUUAAAACAAUCAGUUACCAGUCCGAUGAACUCAGAAAAGACUAGUAUUUCGGUGUUUUUCAGUUGGGAGUAGUAUUUAGCACUGAGCAAGUGCAGGGAUAGCGGCUUCCCCUUCAAAUAGGUAGAGUCGUUAGUAGCAGUCCCUAUACUCCAGAACUACGUAGCCAGCAUAGGAUAUGAGAGUCACCCGUCAGAUUAGGCAUGACUAUUUCACAGGGGCCACCCAUCAGUCUAGGCUUGACACUCUUAGUCCUUCAGAUAUUAUAUCAGUUUAGUGGAUCCACGCAGCCAUCGUCAGUACCCGUGGAACGGUAUUAACACCCUUCCAACUGGGGUUACAGGUUGGACCUCGAUUAGCUCAAAUUAGAGAAUGUCGGUUAGAUGAUACCACCCACAGUCUUAGAUAUAGUCUCAGUUACAGUCCCAGCUCAAUUAUUCACUCUUAGUAUUGUUCGACCAAAGCAUACAGAUUUUAGUUAUUUCAGUUUACAGAUUUUACUCAAGUCAUGUUAUAUGCUUGCUCAUGCAUCCUCAGUAUUUAUAGAUUUUUAUACAUUUUCAGUAUCUACAUAUCCCAUGCUCUUUAUUCAGUACUCCAUGCUUUACAUGCAUAACCAGUUAAUUAUUAGUUCUGUUCAUGAAACCAUGCAUAUCAGCCAACCUCAUUUAGCAUACUAGUACAUUCAAAGUACUAAUCACGUACCUUUUCUUUUGCGCUAAGAUGUAUUAUAUCUUAGGUUCUGAUGCUCAGUUCUCAGCUCGCAUUAGACUUAUCAAGUCCUCAGCAGUUGCAGUGGUGAGUCCUUAUACUUCGAGGACAGGGUUAAUUUAUUUUAUGUCUUAGUUAGUAGUUAGUUAGAGUUAGUUGGGGCCUGUCCUAUCAACUCCUAUUCAGUUAGUCAGUUUUAGAGGCUUUUCAGACAUUAGAGUCAGUUAUUCAAUAUUCAAUUAUUACAGUUAAUUAUCUAGUUUAUCAUUAUUUUAUUAGAUUCAAUUAGUUGUCUCUAUAGACUCAUAUUUCAGUUUUAAAUUCAGUUAUUAAAACCUUAUGGCAUGUCAGUAUUAUUCUGCAUUUAUGAUCAUGUUGUCCAGUGCUCACAACAGGUACCAGCUCAUGGGUUAUCUUGUGGUCCCUCAAGACUGUAAGCACCGUGUGACGACUAGGGGGUAGUCCCGGGUCAUUACAUUUUCUUACCAAGUUUAAGUUUUACUUUUCUUUGAAGAAAAAUAAAAGUAAUACCAUAAUUACUUUACUUUUCCUGAAAGGAAAAUAUAUAACUUUUCCAUAUUUGGCUAACCUCUUUCUAAGAGGAAAGUUUUUGGAACUCUAUAAAUAGAAGUCCCUCCCUUCUCAUAUAAUAGCACAAUAGCAUCCACAAUGUAGUCGUCAAAAGAGUCUGGUUUAGGGGGAGAUUUCUCCCAUAGGUUUAUAAUUUUCAAUAUUAGUUUUAUAUAUAGGCCAAUUGGCUAAAUAAUAUAAUAAUAUUAAGUUUUUAGUAUCAUUUUAUGUGUCUUCUGAAUUGUCACCACAAUGGUUUGCGACUAAUAGCUUCCAUAUAACGCCCUCUCGAUUUCGAACCUAACAUGAAUAGGUGUGUGCAAGUUGUUAAAAAGGGAUAUGAAGUUAGAACUCCUAAAUUUGAAUUGAAAGAGGGCUACUUGUAUAUAAAUGGAAAACUUUGUUUGCCUAUGUCUUUAUGGAGAGAGUUAUUAGUGAAAAAGGCAUAUAACGGAGGUUUGAUAGGUCAUUUUGGAGUGCCAAAAACCUUAGCUAUUUUUAAUGAACAUUUAUUUUGGCCAAAAAAAUAAGAAAUGUGGAAAGAAUUUGUGUUAGGUGUUUGGAUCGUAAGUAUGCUAAAUCUUGUACCCAACCCCAUAGCUUGUAUACCCUUUUUCCUAUUCCUAUUGGUCCUUGGCUAGAUAUUUUCAGGGAUUUUAUUGUAGGCCUCCAUAGGACUAUGAAUGGCAAAGAUAGCAUCUUUGUUGUUGGAGAUAGAUUUUCAAAAAAUGGCUUAUUCUAUUGCUUUUCAUAGAAGUGAUGGUGCAUCUCAUGUUGUUACUUUAUUUGUUCACAUGUGAUGAAAUUGCAUGGUGUUUCCCAAACAAUUGUUAGUGAUAGAGAUUCAAAAAUUCUUAGUCAUUUUUUGUGGUAUUUGUGGGGCAAUUUGGGAAUUAAAUUUCUUUUUGCUACUUCUUGUCAUCCUCAAAUGGAUGGUCAAAUCGAGGUGGUUGAUAGAAAUUUAGGUAACAUGCUUAGAGAUAUGGUUAAAGGAAAGUUCAAUUAUGGGGAGGAUCUACUGCCAUUAAUUAAGUUUGCAUAAAAUAGAACUAUCCAUAGAUCUAUUGGUAUAAAUCCUUUUGAGUGUAUUCAUGACUUUAAUCCCCUGACUCCAUUGGAUUUAACUCAUUUUUUACAAAGAUGUUAUUAUGAGUGUAGAUCCAAAAGCUAAGGUAAAAGAUAUGAAGAAAAUCCAUGAGAAAGUAUAAUCAUUGAGGAGGCCAAAAAACAUGCAACCAAAACAGCCAACAAAGGAUGAAAAAAAUCACCUUUGUACUCGAUGAUUGGGUAUCGGUUCACUUUAGAAAAGAGAGGUUUCCUAGAAAAAGAAAGAAUAAGCUUAUGCCAAGAGGAAUGGACCUUUUCAAGUGCUUGAGAAGAUUGGAGAUAAUGCUUACAAAGUGGACUUUCCAAGGAAGUAUUUGGUCCAUAAUGUUUUUAAUUUUAGUGAUUUAUAUUUUCUUGAUAUUGGAUUGACGAACUCUAGGAUGAAUUCUUUUGAAGAAGAAGAGAGUGAUAUACAUCAAAGUGACGCUACUUUAAGAAGACAUUUAACAAGAAGUUAAGUUAAGGACCUUCAAGCAUUUCAAGUUUUAUGGAUUAAUAUGGAAUCUCUUAAAGGUUUUAAUAUGUAUGACUUGAAGAUAUUUAAUAUUCUAAGUGUCUACCAUUUAAAUUAGCUUCUAAUUUAAAUGAAGGAAAAUUUGUUCUUUCUUUACUUUUUUUAGCCCUUAGUAUAAAUAGUUAGUGAUUAGGGUUGAACUACUAGUUUUGAAUAUUGUAUAUUUGUGCCUCCUUUGAGAGCUUGAUAAACCUAUGUUGAUUUUCAACACUUUUCUAGUAUUUGCAAGUAUGUUACUACCUUAUUGAGGAUUCUAAUAAAUUAGGUGUUUUUAGUUCCCAAUUGAGUGGUGUUUUAGUUAGUGUCACCAUUACAUCUUUCAAUUGUAUGAAUCUAAUUGUGUCUCUCAUUACAUCAGUAUGAAUGCUUUUCAAAUGAUAGAGGGUUCAACACUUCUCACCAACUUUCUAGUAGAAGAAAUUAACAACCUAACGCUACAUAGGGUCAUAAGAAAAGGCCUUUAACCUACAUUAUAAAAUAAUGUAGCAUCCAGGGAUGUUUAGUGUGGCGAGUACUAGCAUGCAAUCUAAGGAAAGAGAUAAAAUACACAUUUACUAAAUCAACUAUAAAACACAAGUUCGUCAUCCUUUAUAUUUAUAAUAAUAUAUUACGAGACUGGGGAUGAGAAACAUAAAGGCAUUACCAUUUCAAAUUUAGUUCUGAACUAUGUAGCUUUCACAGACCUUUAGUCACCCACAGGCUAUAUGGGUCUGGUUCCCACCCACCAGAGGAUCCCCAAUCCAUUUUGACCAUAUGGAACAAGGAUUAGGCUAAAGUCACCAAUAGACAAUAGCUUCCCAAAAGUAUAAUAGUGUAAUAUUGUGUGAAUAAAGUACACAGAGGUCAUAGACCCACAACGUCGGCAAACAUGAUUUCAAGUAUUCGUCAUACCAAGACUUGUAAACCAUUUCAAGUAUGUCAUACCAUAUUUAUUAAUCAUUUUAGACUUCAAAUUUCAUUUUAAAAAUCCAUAGCCAAUUCCCCCAAGGGAAUUUGAAAAGCCUUUUUACUCUUUCCAUUUAAUGUCAUGCAAUAAUUUAAAGGAUAGACUAAACACUAUAAAUUCCUCCUAAGAAAACCAAAUUAUGAUAGGGAUUGAGGUUCAUGUCUCUAUCAUGCAAAACUAUAAUCAUUAUGAAACCUUGUUACCACCUACCACCCCUUUUUAAUACCAAGAUUUAGUUUACAAAUAACCAUUUACACAUGAACAACCAUUAGGACAAGAGAAAACCAACAUAAUUAGGUGACAACCCUAAAUCCCUCAAUUCUAGUUUUUAAAUAACCGAUAAGAACAUGUAAAUUUUAAUCAAUAACACAAUAUAAUGGUAAUUAAAGUAAGAGAUUAUUCAACAUGUCUUUUUGACAAAAGAAAUUUUAGAAAAACUUGAAUUUUGAAGCCUUGAAAGGUUGAAUUUUGGAGAAGAACCCUUAUUUGGUGUUCUUGAGAAUUAGGGGGGAGAGAAAUCAUGUAUUUGGAUUAUGAGAAGAGGGAAAAUAUGUUACUAUUAGUUAUAUGAUGAUUUAAGAUGUAAAUUACUAGUUUUUCUUCAAAAAACUGAAGAAAAAUGUGAAUUUUAGUGUCUCUGGGGCCAUGGGAGUAUCAUACUCUUAUCGUAGACCCUCACUGGCUCGCUUGCAAAAAUGCUCAUAACUUGUUUUUAGGUAUCAGAUUAGGAAAAACUAGAUGUGUUGAAAAGAAGACCCAAAGGGCUUUAAUUUGGUAUAUAUUAAGCCACCCAAUCCAUUCUAUUCUAAGAGUAACUAUCAUUGGAUGUUGACCCAAGAAAAAUUGUAUACUAAAACUCAAUCAGUAGGAAAGUUCUCAACUAAACUUUGAGCUAGGAGAUUUGUGUCACUUUAAUUAAUAUCCGAAGAUUUUUCCAUACUAAAUAAUUGAUUAUACCACUUCUAUUAGAUAGAAAUCAUUGGGUUUGAGUCUAUACACAUAUGAGAAAUAGUUCAAAUUCUAGCUCAAAAAUAUGGGGUAUUAUAUGUUUGGUAUGUCAAGCACUGAUAUUAGUGUUAUAUUUAAUAUGAUAAAAUUAUGGUUAUGGGUUCUAAUUCUAUUUAUAUUGUAGCUUUUAUUAUCAAUUUUGUCAUGACCCAAUUUUGUCGUGAGUAGCUCUCAUACUACUCAUCCGGUAGGAGAAUAAACUACCCCUAAACUAGAUCCAUGAUCAAUGCUUAGAGAAAAUAAAUAGAACUAACCAUCAAUAAAAUAUCAAUUCUAAAGAAACAAAAUAUAAGUACAACUUAAGGAGAAACAUUGCACUUAACCAAAACCAUCCCUGGGAUCCAUAAGUCAUCUGUGACAAAACUACUAAAGAUUUCCAAGAAGAGGAUGCAAUCCCAAAAACUAAAAUGAAAGCAUAAGACCAAAAAUAAACACUCUAUCAUCCAAGAAGGAUUCAUGGUAUCUCAAAAAUAUAUUGUUCACCCUUGAAUCCAAAGUCCAAUGCUAGAAUCACAAGUGAGGUCUUGCAGGAGCCACUGAAAUAUGUAUUUCACUCACAAAAAUAAGAGCAGAUACAGUAUCAGCACACAAGAAAUAAUAAUCUACUGGUAGGGUCAUUUUCCAACCUAAGAUCAGAAUAUGAGCACUUGACUAAAACAUAGUAUAACAAGUUAAGACAUGUGCAACAACCUCCACCUAGAACGACAAGCAUCAAAUAAGUAAUUUAGAGUUACAAGAAACAAGUUAAUACACAUACAACUAAGUCAAGUUUUGUCAAGACAAGUUAAAUAAGUCUGGGCAAUUUAAUCAAAUAUCAAGCAUAUCUAAUCAUAUUUCCUGGUUCACUCUGAAAAAUAUCAAACUCACUUGAACCUCGUACAUACAUGCUAUGGGUAUCAUAACCAUCCUCUAGUCUUGACCUACAGGGGGGAAAUUCCAUCAAAGUACCUAUAUCUCAGACACAAAUAUCUGCUAACCUUAUUCCACCAACAAGCCAUGAGAACGUCCCAAGUACCAAGAUAUUCCACAAUAAUCAAUAAGGUAGGUCAAAAGUAUAAAACAUGAUAAAACUUAUUUGAAUUGACCACAUCAAAAAACAUGCACUAACAAAACCCACUACGAAGUAGGUAACAUGCACAUAUAAUACAAAUUGGAUUAAACUACAAUACCAUCACCUACCUCAAAUCAAGCUUGCACAACUCCUCUAAGCCGAAGCUUUGCCCUCCUAAGCAAUUUUUAUUUGAUCUCGGUAUAGAGAAACACAUGAAAAUGAAUAAUUAAUGAAAUGACAUAUUAUGUUGGGAAUUAUAACACAAACCUAACCCUUAAGGCCAAGUUCAUAAUCAUUCCCUCCCCACUUUAGGGCUUUUCUAUCGUAAUUUAUCAAAAACUACCAAUUUUAUGGAUGUACUAGUGAAUUUACGAAUGCAAGGGUAAAUUGAUCAUUAAUAAUAAAAAAAAUCAUUAAAUUUUAUCCAUAAUUUACUCCUUUGCAUCAGAAAAAACAUUAAAUUCAUCACUAAACUCCCUCCGUCCCUCGAACUCCGUAAAUUAAUACUUCUAGGUUAAAUUAUCAAUUACUAGCUAAUGAAGAAGAUAUCGUUAUCCUUACAAAGACAAACAAUGAAAAUCUGAUGAAAAUUGCCUAUUUCUUACCCAAAAUGUGUUUUAAAAAAUAAACCAUUUUGGAGAAUUUUAAAAGAAAUCUAUGACUUUCAUCGCUUUAACAAGCAUUAACCGGGUUGACCGUCGCUAUAGCAGGAUUUUUUUCGCUAUAGGGACAUCGGUGGGACAUAAAGUCCAAAGUCACCUGAAAAAUCUCAAUUUUUACAAUACACUUUUAAUAUGGAACAUUUCAAACAAUGAUAUUUGCACUAAGAUUGAUUUUGGGAGUUCUACUUAUCUAAAUUUAAUUUCGUUAAUUUCUAUGAGUUCCUUACUUCUUAUCUAACUAGAAAUAACAUCAAACACCAUCAAACUUUUCAAAAUCAUUCUCGAAUUUUCAUAGACUACACGUCGCUUAAAUUUUAUUCAAAACUAACCUAGGCUGAAAUUUAUAUCUUCAAAUUAAAAAAAAAUAAACAUGAAAUUUUAACUAAAGGUUUAUACAUAAUGGAAGAGAUGAUCAUUGCACCACAAAUUAAUUUUAUUGUUAGAGAGUUGAUAAAAUUAUCUUAUUUCAAUUACACAUUCAAGCCAAUUGGACACGUGACGGGUUGCAUUUAUCAGAAGGUAUGUUACAGACCUGCUUAAUCAUAUGCAAAUAGGUUCAUGUGGUCCUAUCUCCACACUAAUUUCAUCCUCAUCCAAGAUCUAAUACUGGUGGAUGUUCAUUUCAUGAUCAAACUCUGUAAAAGAUUAUUGUUAGAGCUUUACAAAAUUUGAUGUUUACUAGACCUAGUAUACAUUAUGUGGUAAAUAAAAUAUCAUAAUUUAUGCAUUACCUUAUGGAUUCUAACUGCAUUGUCGUCAAACAUAUUCUCCAUUAUGUCAAGUCUACUACUUCUCAUAUAUUUUUUUCUCGCGGGACAUCCACCUUACGUCAUGGUUAAAGUGAUUUGGGCUGGAGAGGUGAUGUUGAUGAUCGCGAGUCUAUCAUUAGGUUCACUAUUUUUUCUUAGUUCUUAUUUAAUUUCCUAGGCUUCUCUAAAAAUAAUGAUCUGUAUCACAAUUAAUCACAAAGGUGGCGCCUUGGAUUAGUUGCGACUACCUCUGAAAUGGCAUGACUCGAGCUUCUCCUUUGAGAGUUUGGAUCAUUUCACUAACUUUCUUCUCAUUCACUCGUGUGAUAAUCUUAGUGCCCCCUAUUGGAUUCUAAUCCCAUUUUUCAUUUCCUAGUGAAAUAUAUGAAAAUCAAUUUUAUUUUGUCCGUUAUAAGGUUUGUAAGAAGACCUUAUCAGUCAGAUAUGUAAGCUCUCAUGAUCAAAUGAGUGAUGCUCUUAUCAAGCCUUUGUCCAAGGACUAAUUUUUAUAUUUGAAGCUCCACUGGACAGUUGUUCCACACCCUCAUCAACCUGAGGUGUCCGGGGGGUAGUGCAAUUAGGAUAAUGUCAUGUAGGAGUUUGAAUGAAAGUCUAUUUGUAUAUAUUUGCUGAUUGUUUUUACUUAACUUUACGAAGUUGUGCAAUUAUUUUCAGACUAGGAGUCCUUAACAGUGACAACUUUCACUACGAGAACAACAACCUCUAGGGGAGUCCUUAGUCGCAAAUGAUCUUUUAGGAUGAGAAAAUUUUGGGCGUGGCUCAUCCGAAUAGCCUCCUUCUCUAAAGGUCUACUGCGACGAGGUACUCUAACUGAUCGUUAAAUGUCAUUAGAGAUGAUAACAUAUUCGGUCUCAAAAAUACUUUUAAAGACUGUAUAUCUCACCCCUAAAAGAUGAUUUUCAUAUUUAAAAAAUAGUUAUUUUCUAGUCGCUAAAUAUUUUUUUGCUAUGAGUAACUAUCUUAUCCUAAAUUAACCUAUCACAACGAGCACCUAACUCAUUUGGGAUUAAUAUUUAGAGAGAAGCAACUGCUCACCCUAAAUUAACCUUUAGAUAUGAGAAACUAAAUCGUCCUUGAUUAACCUUUAGAGACGAGCAACUAACUCGUCCUAGAUUGCUACUGAAAAUGUCGAAGGAUAAUAAAUAUAGUUUUAAUAUUUGCUAAACAGAAAAAACCAAAUCAAUUAAGAUCCCUAGCUAGAAUAUGAUGUCAAUAGUUUCAAUAUUUUCUAAAUAAAAAAAACAUUACCAAUUAACAUCCCGAGCUAGAAUUUGAUGUCAAGUUUACAUAAUGUUCUUAGCAAAAUAAUAAUGAUCUUCUGCAUUUCCUGAACUUGCAUCUUUACUUAUAACUUCAAUCUUCAGAAAUCUAUAAGAACAAAAUUUAGGAAAGAAAAUUAAUAACUAUUGGUAUAUAAUUUAAUAUACAUAAGAAGCAAGGAAUUGAAACACAGUAUAGCAAUGGAUAACUGACUUAGUCAAUGGAUAAAACAAGUACGAAGAGUUCAAAACUAAGUCCAACUAUGAGAUGAAUUUGAAAAAAGUAAUCGCUUUCAUUCGAUUUGCAAUGUUUGAUUCACAAAAAAGGAGAAAAGAAUUACCUAAAUCAACAAAACUACUUAGAUAUUCUUUUGGGAUGAAGUGAGAACUAGUGUAAAAUGUUAACACAGGUAAAAAUCUUGCAUAAGUCUGAAAGCAUUAUUAUGUAUGAUUUAAGAAAACCUGGAGCUUGACAGUUGAAUAAGCAUUAAGCACCUUGCCUAGGAUACACAUUAAAAACAAAGUUAAAGUCAAAGAAUUGUAGCUUUACCAAAAUUGUUCUUACAUGAUGAGGGGUACUAUGUAGUGAAAUUUCAGAACCAAAAGGAUAGAGACAAAAUUUUAUAUUUUGAACCUUAUACAGUGGUAGAUAAUUUGGGAGGGCCAAUAGAAUAGAAGAUGUUGUCUCGCUGGUAGAUAAUUUGGAAAAAAAGCUGUUACGGAUGGAACUUUAGAUGAUGAUCAAGAUGGUGUUCAUGCUCUUGAUCGAUCCAUGAUUGUGUUGCCGAAGCUCAAUAAAUCUAGACAGCAAAUUGGAAUAUAGUUGAUGGGAAAUGGAGUAAAAUUUUUGGUCAAAUUAGAAUAUAGUUUCUGGGAAGUAAAUUGGAAUAUAGUUUUUGGGCAACAAAUCUUGAUCUAAGUGGAACUACAGCUAUAGAAAAAGUGUAAAAAUUUGUCUAAGAAUAUAGUUUUUGGGAAGCAUUUUUCUGAUGAAAAAGGCAACAGCAUUGCAAACAAUUCUAGUCAUGAAUGGCUUGUGGUUUCGCACAAGAAAAUUGGUGGUUCUAAGUCUAAACAACCAGAUUUGCACCAUAAAAAUGAUAUACGGGUUGGGUUUGAUGCAAGUAAUUGUGUAGCUAAAGGUACAUAGUUUGACUUGCUGUGAGAUGAAAAUUUUGGACAACAGUUGAUGGGCAAUGCAUCUAGAGUAAUGAGUGGAAAUAAGGGUGUUUCUUAAUAUGUCCAAGGGAAAUAUUAUUGAAAUGGGAGCAACGGUGGUUGUAUACAAUAUUGAAAUGCAACACUAGAAUAUAUGGUUGUUGCAGUAAAAAAGCUACGAAAACAUUCAACACCAGAAUAUGUACAGUUAUGGCUGUUCUAGAAUUUGGUCAAUGAGACUUGUAUGUACAGAUCAACCAUGUACUCCUUGUUCUAGAUUUUAUUAAAACGGUCUCAACGAGGAUUCCUAUUUAAAACAGGAAGGUUAUCGAUGCAUUAAGCUUUUACUUGUGAUUUUAGGAAAAAAGAAAGGUUAAAAUCUUUGUGUGCAAUAGGACAUAUCCAUUUCAGUUUAUAGUAGUGUUUGAUUGGGCACAAUAUUUAAGGUAUUUAUUUUGACUUGUGUAUGUUAGUGAUAGUGAAAGAAAAUAGCAAAGUAAUAGUUUAAAAGUUAGCUGGCCGAGAAAAAGAUCAUAUUGAAGUUUAAAGCUUGAGAAGUUUAAUGGUUUUGCAUUUUUGAAAGUUGUGGAAGUUGGAGAAAUAGUUAUGAGAACAACCACAAAUAUCUCAAACACUCAAACAAAAUUUCAUUAUACCGUCCAAAUUUUUUAAUUAAAUUGUGGUGUUCAAAAUGGUUAUGAUUUGUGUUCUCCUAUUCUUUUGUUUGUAUUGAAUUCAGGUGUGUAUGUGAGGGGGUAAGUAGAUAUUGAGUGCUUCUGAACUUUGAAAUUCUUUUUCUCAAUUGCAUGUAAAUACUCAAGCACCAUCUAAUAUUACUGAUUAUAGUGAUCGUAACAAUUCAAAGUACUAUAUCAUUGUUGUACGGGUAACUAUUAUGCAACUUCAGUUCUAUUUCGGGGUUUAGAAACAAUAUCUAUGACUAACAUAAAACUCUUCUUAUAUGAUAUUAAUUGCAGUAUUCUUCCAGAUUCAAUGCUGAAACUAUGAAGAAUUUUCUAUACACUCUCAACGAUGGCAAGAUAGCCAAAAAGAAAUUCAACAGUAAGUUCCUUCUCUAUAUAGCAUGAUCAUUAGGUAAGGCAAUUGGAGUGAUUAAAUGACAAUAGAAUUGGAGAAUCUUCAUGUUGUCCGAAAUUUAAUUAUACUGAGAAGCAAAUAUGAGACAACUGCUCGAAGAUGGACUCAAAAUUUUUUUAACAAAAGGGUCCAGCUCUUCCAGAGAUAGUCACAGCAAUUAAACCAUGGCAAGUUUGAGUCCAGCUCAAAGCAGUUGUCUCAUAUUUGCUUUUAUCACCAAAUGUCUUAUUCUCUACUAUACACUAUCAAACCUUCAUUAAACCACCACCACCAUCAUCGGAAAAAUCUCAUCUCCACCACCAUAGAUUUCACCAUCCAUAAUCAAAUUCACCAUCGAAAUCAUCUCAUAAUAUUGUCACCACCAAACCACCAUUAAACUACUAUUAUUACAACUAUUAUUACUAAACCUACAUCUCCUACGUAGAAAAAUGAUAUCAAAGUAGGACGGGGGGAAAACAUAAUGAUGUGAAGCCACAACAAAAUACUAAAGACAACAUGACAAAGAAAAAUAACUGAAGUCGAGAAGUCACAACAAUAUACUAAAGACAACACGAAAAAGCAAAAUAAUGGAGUGAAAAAAUCAUGACCAUAUACUACAGAAAACAUGACAAAUAAAGCAUAAUAGUAACUACAACAAUAUAGUCAAAUAAGACAAGAACACCACAAUGAUUUACAGACACCAUCUUUUGAUGGAGUUCCUCCUAAUUAACUUGAGUUUUAUUUAUUUAGUUGCACUAUAAUUAGUUAAAGUGUUCACCACAAAAGAAGUGGCUAAUGUUAAAAAUAUAAUGAAAAACUAUAAAAACUAAGGUAUAUUAUUACUUACUUGGUCAGCAAAAUAAGUCAGUGUGUCAUUCAGUUGAAGCGGGCGAGGUCGUAUGAGGGAGAUGUGAAUGUUGAGCAGUAAAGAAUUAUUGAUUUUUUCUUAUUUUUUCCAUCUCAUCUUUUAAGGUUGACAAGCGAUCAUUAAAGGAUUUAUUUUUCUCAAUCAAGGAUUUAUUUUCCUCUCGAGUUGAACGUGGAGCCGACAGUGAUUCAAUCUUUGAAGAAGUGUCCCCUUUCAUGUCUUUCGCCUUUAUUCCACCGCCAAAGCAAAAUACAUGGCUAUAAUUUUGAGGUCCAAAAUUUUUUUCUACAAUCUAUAUGCUAGAUAAAGAUGGCUCGGCUUUCACAAUAUCUUUGAUCUAAGCCAGCAAAAUAUAUAAAAGGACAUAUUUUAUUAGAACCCAUAAUAACUUUAAGAAAUUUACAUAUUUAAUUUAGCAAACGCACAUGUUUUUCAAUUGCUUCAGGUUUAACAAGUUUGUUUUCAUUCUUACGAGUUUCAUAAAAAAAAUAGUCCCCAAAUCUGAAGGAUUGCCAUCUAUUUCACCCUUUACAUCAAAGAGAAACAUGUCAAAUACUAUCUCAUAAGUAUUUUCUUUAGGAAAUAAUUAUUGAUACUACCUACUGAUAAAUUAUCUCUCAAAUAGGCUUGCUACCAAUAUGAAGAAGCAUUGUCAAAUUAGCUCGAUUUGUUGUAUUCCUUCUUCUUCUUGCCUGUAUUCUUAAACAAUAAGAUUAGCAUCUAUUGAAAUGGUGUAUUCCUUCUGCUUCUCGCCAGUAUUCUUAAAUAAUAAGCUUAACAUUUAUUGAAAUAAAAAUUCUGAAAUUGCAUCAACAAAUAAAGUUUAUAGGGCAACACUAGCAGGUAAUACAUAGCAACAUAUAUAGAACCAUUGGAUUUUUUAGAAAACAGAAGUCACUCCACACACAAUUGUAAAGCAAGUAAUACAAAGCUACGAAAUGAAAGCUUAAAGACAAAAACUGAAAUUCAAGUUUUCGAACUAAAGUUUCAUAUUCUUCACUAAGAAUACCUGAAAACUUUUGGAACAAAAAAUGUUCCUUGAGUAUCCACUCCUAGUCCUUCUUCUCUAUUCUCUCUAGUUUAAACUUAAGAGUCUGUACCAUUGACUUAUUCUUCACGUACUUACUAUGCAAGUGUCCUCUCCAUUUUUUCCACAACUCAUUCAUCCAUACAAAGAAAUGAUCACGAUGAUCAUUCAUGUAAUCACUCUCAAAUUUAUCCUACAAUAAUCAAUACACAAAAUCAAAUAGAACAAAAUGUAAAAAGGUCCAAAUGCUCAUUCAUACUAUCGACUAUAUUUUUUACCUCAAUAGUUUCCCACAUGUGAUCAAAUUUUAUUUCUUAAUAUCACUCCACAAUGAUACCGCUAAUGAAAACAUGUUAAUGUCACGCAUUAAUUUUUCCAAGUGUCUCAAAAAUAGAUUGCUAUUUUUUCAACCAUCCAAUUAUUGUAAAAGGUUACUUUCAACUUCUGACUGACUUCCACUAAUGCAACUUCCUUGCACUUGUUGCUCCGUCAAACUCUUUUUACCUUUCUAGGGUUAGAUGAUCCUAUAGUAGCAUAAUUUGGUAAGAACUAUACUAAUAAAAUUUAAUUCUAUAAAUUUAAUUAUACAUAAAUUCAAAAAUAUCAUACCUAUUUCAACAGUUUAGGAGAGUUUCAUAACUUGAUCAAUAGACAAAGGCAAUGAAAUAUUGGUUUCAUGUUCUCUUUCUCAAGAAUCAGAGGAUUAUUAUUCAUUGAUUGCAUUCCUUGGUUAGAUCUGACAUUAUUCUUAAAAACCCUAACAAGGAGCACAAAGAUCUAGGUAUUAGAUCCCACAUUAUUCUUAGAAACCCCUAACAAGGAGAAAACAUUUGUAUGAUGUGAUGAAAGUGGACAAAAAUUGCGCAUAUUUGAAAAAACUUUUAGAAACCCCUACACUGAGCAUGAUGUGAUAAAUGUGGACAAAUACUCUAUAGAUUUGGAAAAACUUACUUUUUUCAACCUUUUUGAUGCAUUGCUUAACUUGAUUAGUAUAUGGAGGAAAUGGAGUAUGAACCUGCAUAUACGCUUUCUCAAGAACCAUAGAGUUCUUACGUAUCGCUCCUAUUCCUUGACUAGAAGGCAUGAUAGAGUUUUUAAGUCCUUUUUCUGGACCCUUCCCAAUAGCACCUAGAGAAAUCAAAUUAUAUUACUAAUACAUAAGUUAUAUAUGCAAUCAAAAACUCAAAAAAUAUGAAAAAAAAAGUUACUUGUUUCAACCUCUUUGGUGCAUUGCUUAACUUGUUUACUCGAUGGGGAAAAUAGAGUAUGAACUUGCCUAUACUUAUUCACAAGAAUCAUGAAGUUCUAAGUAUCGUUCUCAUUCCAUGACUAGAAAACAUGGUAAAGUUUUGAAGUCCUUCUUUUGGUCCCAUCCCAAUAACACCUAGAGAAAGCAAAUCAUAUUACUAGACUUAAGUUAUAUAUGCAAUCAAAAACUCAACAAAUUUGAAAAAAAACUUACUUUUUUUAACCUCUUUGGUGCAUUUCUUAACUUGAUUAGUCGAUGAAGAAAAUAGAGUAUGAACUUGCUAUACUCGUUCUCAAGAACCAUGGAGUUCUUACGUCUUGUUCACAUUCCUUGACUAGAAGAUAUGGUAAAGUUUUUAAAUCCUUUUGGUCCCUUCCUAAUAGCACCUAGAGAAAGCAAUUCAUAUUACUAAUACUUAAGUUAUAUAUGCAAUUAAAUACUCAACAAAUUUGAAAAGAACCUACUUGUUUCAACCUCUUUAGAGCAUUGCUUGACUUGAUUAGUCAAUGGAGAAAAUGGAUUAUGAACUUGCAUAUACUCGUUCUCAAGAACCAUGGAAUUCUUACGUAUCAUUCCUAUUACUUAACUAGAACGCUUGGUAGAAUUUGUAAGUCAUUUUUCCCUCCCUUUCCCAAUAGAACCUGUAGUAACAAAUGUGCAAUUGUAUAAGCUUAACAUUUUAAGGCUAAUAUGACAAGUGUAACAGGACCAUAUAGUUUCACUCCUAAAGCUAUAUGGUUAACCAUAAUCUUCCAAAUAUAAGAGGAGAACGCCUCUAUUUUUUUCCUUUUGGUACUAUCAACUAAUGUGGAUUUUUGAAGUCUUUUGAUGCUUGAUGCAUCAAUGUAGUAUAGGUGCUUAAGCAGUGUUCUCUAGGUUGAUAUGUUGUGUAUAUCAUGCAGGUAGCAUGAAAUGAAUGACUUAUUAAAGAGAGGGUUGUAAAUAGGUGGAUUUUUUGCAUGAAGUAGAUAUCAUCUAUGAUUUGGAGAGAAGGAGAGGGAUAACCUCCUAGCUAUUUCUGACCACAUCAGUAGAAACUUAUUGAAGGAACUAGCAUCACCUAAUGCAUGGUCGAAUGUGAAUGUUAUAAAUAUGCCUCACAUUUGUAAUUUGUGAGUUGAACUUGUACUGGAAACUCCGAAUUUAUUGGAACUAAUUUUCCCUCCAGACAGUCGCUGAGUUUAAGACAAGUGUUGGGUUGUGCUUCCAAAAACAAAGCACCAGUGUUAUCACAUACAAUUUCAGUCUCAUUAGUAUCUGGAUUUAGAAUAAUUCAAUCAGCAAAUGGAUAGAAAUAUCAAAGGCAAACAGCAAGAGACUUUCUUAAUUUAUCUGCAGUGGAUGUUAAUGAUUUCUUAUGUUUUACUUUGUGGUAGACAUAAAAUUAAGUCACUAAAAAGCGUCCAAAGAGAAAGUCCAGGUUUGAAAGGAUGAGAACAUGUAACUCAGGAAUUGGACCACUGGUUUUUAGUACAGACUUUCUGAUGAAAUUAAACUUAGUGUAUACUCACCAUCUCUUCCAUCUAUCAGUGCCAUAAGAUUGCCUACAAAAUCUUAACUUUAGGUUGUGAUUGAUUUGAGAUAUUCUAUACUAAUUCAUAGAAUACCUUCUUUAUAGAAAAAUUAUUUAAGACACAAUGAUGUCUAUUGUCAUUAUGAAUCAACAUAGAAAAAAAGGACGAUCAAAUAGAGUGCAAGUGAAAUGCUUAGUGAAAAUUGCAUCAUCAAUUUGGACUAGACGGAUCAUUUGGUUGAAAAAAGCUAUCUCUUGAGAUUAGUUUUCAUCCCUCAAUGUGGAAUAGAAAUAAUACUACAAUCUCGAUAUAACUAAUUACAAGAUGAGUUAUCCAAUGAAUUUCAUCCCAAUCAAACUAGCAGACUUUAUCCAAAAAACAUUAUCAUUUUAGGUCAUUUGGAUUCUAUACAAAGGUACACACACUCUAGAUGGAGUAUUUGUUGUAGUUGAGGUAUUAACACUGGUAGUGUGCACAAAGUUUCAUGGAUGAAUGCCAAGCUAAAAUAGACUCAAACUGUAAUCUUCUCAAGGUAUGAACUGCUUAAGGAUUUUGAGUCCAAUGAUUUCAGUAAAAAAUUAAGACAGUUGGUUGCACAUAAAGAUAAAGAGGGUCAAAUCAAUCAAUCAACUGCACUCAAUCCCAAACUAGUUGAGAGCAACCCAAGAAUCCCUUAUUACAUAGAAGGGUUGAUGCAAUUGACACGUUCAAAAGAGAAUGAACACAACUAAAAAUUACUUUGAAUUGUUGAUAAUUAUUAAGAUCUAUAAGUCAAGAAAUUUUUACCCGGUAGGGAAACCAUUGCUAUGUAAGUAGUCAUUUGCAAGAACAGGAUCUAUUGCUCUAGUGAUAUUAAGGGAACUACAGGGCAUGUAGCUCCAAAAAACAUUAUGAGUAGGUUCAGUUACUAGUAUUAAAGGAACCAAAGGACAAGCAGCUCCAGCUACACACCACAAAUCAGUUCAUCUCUACUGAUAUUUAGGGAAUCAAAGGACAUGUAGUUCAAGGUACACAACUAAGUACAAUCAGAUGGUGCUCGAGGAAACAUAUCCAUAACUGUCAAUAAGUCUGUAUAAAAACUCUUUAAUUCUCACAGAAAAAACAUGAAGUAAGAAAAAGAGCACCAUGUACAUUUUAAUAGGUUGUAACAUGUUUCCUAAUAAAUCAGACAUAAUCCUUUUUCACUUUUAUUUAAUAAUCACAGGUAGACAAUCCUCAAUAGGAAUUGGAUUUGAAAACUUACUUGUUUUAUCUUCUUGUGUGUAUUGCUUAACUUUAUUAGUAGACGGAGGUAAUAAAGUAUUAACUAUCAUAUGCUCGUUGUCAAAAAUCAUGGAGUUCUUAUGUAUCAUUCCCAUUCAUUAAUUAGAAGACAUGGUAAAGUUUUUACGUCCUUUUUUUGGUUCCUUUCCAAUAGCACCUGCAGAAAGAAAAUCAUAUUACUAAUACUUGAGGAAUUAUAUUUUGUAGCACAAGGGCGAUCAAAAAUAAGUUGGAAGAAUAAGCUAUUUUGGUUGACCAAAAAUAAGGCUAUGGUGUUUAAUUCAAGUUAUUUAUGCAAUUAAAAACUCUAAUAAAUUUGAAAAAUUUUACUUGUUUCAACUUGCAUGUAUUGCUUAACUUGAUCACUAGGUUGAUAAAAUGAACUCUUAGUUAAAGUUUUCCCUUUUGUUGUCAAAGAUCUGAGCCCUCGUCCUCGUCCCUUUCCAAUUAUACCAGGUGCGUAAAAAAGUAUAUCUAAUAGUACUCUUCAUAGUUGAUCCAUCCUCAGUUUCAAUCUUUAUAUUGAACCUGCAAAAAGAGCCAAAAGUAAAAUAAAUAGUAAGAAAACCUCUUAUCCAGUAAACUAAACUUUACAGUCAACGUAGUCUUUGUGCUCUGUAAAACUCAAAAUCUAUACAAAAAGUAUUAUAAGUUAAAUUUUAAUGCCAAAAGAAUAGAAAUUUUUAGUAGUAAGUAAUAAUUAGAUACUUCACCUUAUCAGUUCUUUUACAUUUCUUUUAUGAAGGACUUUCUAAGUCAUAUACAAUAUCUGAAGGACUUUCUAAGUCAUCUGCAUCAUCAUUCAUUUAUUUCACAAUCUCAUAGGAAUCACGAGGUUAAGUCUUCCUCACUAUGUGUCAGCCUUUGCUGGAAUUAUCAUUAUCAUAAAACACUUUAGAUGCUUGAUUCACUCAAAUAAAAGGUUCAUUUAUUUUCAAAAAUCUACUUGAAUUCACACUUACAUAGUCAUACUAGUCUCUUUUAUUUUUUUUAUUUUAUCAUGCACAUCAAAUCAAUUACACUGAAAUAAAAUCACUCUUCUAUACGGGAUAAUUGCAAUUCAAUCACAUAUGUUAAAGCUCCAUAGCAAUUAAAUGUCUCUCUAUCUUCAUCAUUCUUGCUAGCUACAACAACAACACAAUUUUGAGUCCUUAAAGUUCGAUCAUAAUCUUCUGCAUGAAAUCUAUAUUCAUUUAUAAUUUAACCAUUACAAUGUGUUGAAUAUUUGGUUGGACGACAUGAAAGUGAGAGAAUAUCUUCAAUGAGCCAAAUAUUAUCUACUUUAUGCAAUUGUAUGACCUAAAAAUAAGAUUACAUUUAAUACUUUAGAAUGAUUAAUACAACAUUAAGACGUCAUAUAUAAUAUUUAUGUGUUGCUCAUAUUACUCACCCUAUCUUUAACUCAUUUAAUAAAUUCUCGGUCCCAUUUUAUAUUUAGCAAGUCCUGAGCAAUAUCCAUAUUUGCAAACUCUCUACAAAAUUGAGGUUAACCAUAAAUGUCAUCUAGAAACAAUAUUACCUUAAAUAAAAUUGGAAAAACACGAUGAUACAAAAGAUCUCUCCAUACUCGAGAUAUGGUAAGACUUUAUCACACUUCUUCAGUAUAUAUAUAUAUAUAUAUGUGUGUGUUUUUUCAGUUUCAUUUUCUUCAAGAUCACAUGGACUGUUAGCUCCCAGAAUUUUUUCAGGUUGACAAAAUAUAGAUAAACCUCUAUUUAAAUUUUUUAAACUUUCAUCAUAAUUUUGUUUAGGCCGAUUGAAUUUUAUGUCAGUUCUAUGCAGAUACCUUGAACGUAAAGUCAUAUAUUCAUUUGCAAGGUAGCCCUCUACAAUAGAGCCUCCAAUGAGAGAUUUCAAAAAAUAUAACUAUCACUUAACAGGAUACAUCCACUGAUAAUGAAUAAGCCUAACAAUAAGCCUAACAAUCUUAGCUUCACCAGCUAAAUGAAUAGGCGAGUGGACCAUGACAUCAAAAAAAAAAAAAAGAGGGAAGACCUUUUCUAACUUGCUAAGUAUAAUGGGAAUAUGCUUUUCAAUAUGUUUUAACUCAUCAAUCCCCAACUCCUUCGAUCCAAGAAUACAAAAAAAUAAAGAUAACUCAAUAAAAGGUUCACACACUUCUUUCGACAAUAUAUCACAAAGUACAAGAGGGAGUAUAUGCUGCAAAAGAAUAUGACAAUCAUGACUUUUCAAAUCAGAUAUCUUGUGUUCUUUCAAAUUCACACAUUGAGAAAUAUUAGAUGAAAAUUCAUCCGGAGCCUUUAAAUUCUUACAGAAAAUACAUAAUUUAUGCUUUUCUUCAGGAGACAAUGUGUAGCAUAUAGUUAAAACUUCAACUUCAUUCUCUCAUUGGAUAUGGUGUAAUUUUGGCCUAAUGUUCAUCACCUCUAACCGAGUUUUAAUUGUAUCUUUGGUCUUUCCUUUGACAUUCAUGAAUGUCCCCAACAAACUAUCACAUAUAUUUUUUCAAUAUGUAUAGGAUCUAAAUUAUGUCGCCACAAGAGAUAUUUUCAAAAAGGAAGUUUAAAAAAGAUACUCUUCUAGUUCAAAUAUCCUUUAAUGUGAUAUCUUCCUCCUCUUCUUAGGAUCCUUUGUUAAUGGUUGCCCUUCAUGAUCUUACAUUGAUUAAAUAUCUCAAUUCCAAAAUGUAUUUUUGGUGGGUCCCUUUUCUCUAUUGUACCAUCAAAUAACUUCUUGUCAUUUCUCCAUUUGUGACUCAAAGAAAGGUAACGUCAUUGACUAAUAAAACACUCCUUCUUACAAUUAGCUAGUCGAAUUAAGGAAUUAUCUUUAUUAAAAGAUGGACAUGAUCGCUUUCCUUUUGUACUCCAUCAAGAUAAAUUUUCAUAUGCUAGAAAGUCACUGAUAGUCUAUAACAAAGAAGAAUGCAACUUAAAAAAAAUUUUAGUUGAUGCAUCAAAGAUUUCAAUACUACUUCCCACAACUCAUUCAAUUUCUCUAUUAGAGGUUGAAGUUAUGUAUCAAUUGUAUCUUAGGGACUGCUUGAACCAGUAAUAAGCAUUGAUAAAAUCAAAUUUUUCUAUUUUAUACACAAUCAAGAUGAUAAAUUAUAAGGAAUAAGAACCACGGGUCAAAUGCUAUAUGAGGUUUUGGAAUUUUGGAAUGGUUGAAAUCUAUCACUAGAAAGUCCAAGUCGAACGUUAUGAGGCUUAAUUGGAAAUGAAGGAUGUAUUUCAUCAAAUGACUUUUAUGCCAUUGAAUCAGAUGGGUGCCUCAUUAUUCCAUCAUCAGUUCUUUGAUUCAUAUACCAUGUUAUUAGAGAAGUUGUCUUUGAAGACAUAAACAACCUCUGAAGCCUAGCUUUAAGAAAAAAUAGCAUAAAAAAUUUAGGCUAUUUUUUUUAUCUUUUUAAUUCUUUUUCUCCCCAUUAUGUGUAUCUAAUUUUCAUCUGAACGCACUACAAAUUUUGCAAGAAUCGAGUAGCUACCCUUCUUCCAAUAUAACAUGUAAUCGUUAGUACAAGCAUAAAUCUUGUUGUAAGAAAGCCCAAGCUUUUGAAUUACCUUUUUUGCUUCAUAAUAUGAAUUUGGAAAAUUAGCUCCAUUUGGCAACAACUCCUCUUUUAACAUUUUCAAUAGCAUGAAAAAUGACUCAUUGCUCCAAUGACCCAUACUUUUGAUGUGAAGCAAUUUAAUCAAAGAUGAAACCUUUGAAGCCUUUUAGUUUUGAUACAAUGGUUGUUCAAAAUUCUUCAAAAGGCUAUAAAACUUUUUAGCUUUAGCAUCUGGUACCUCCUCAAGUUUAUUAUCAAAAUUAGUGUGUGUAUCUCCUCCAUUUUCAAUAUUAGGAUAUAACUCUCUCUAUAGUUCUUCUACUUUAUCUUCAUCUUCACUCUCAAAAUCUUCUGCUUUAUCAUCAUUCUCAUCUUUAGAGUCUGAUAGUGCCUCACCUAACUAUUCCCCGUGUGUUAAAUCAAAUGGUAUAAUCUUCAAUUAUUCCAUGGACUUUCAAAUGUAUCUCAACCGUUUUAUGAGUUUCUAAUAUUGUAUUACAAUACUCAUAACACGGACACCGUAUUUCAUAUUCGUCUUCUUUUCCAUGAGAAGCACAAUUCACAGAAUUUUUCACCCCAUCUAAGUAGAUUUUAUCGAUUUGAUUAUGAAGAGAAUGUUUCAUUCAUUGCUUACUAGGUGCCAUAACCUUGGAGAAUACAUAAAUAUUAUAUUAAAAAAAUAUAAAAAAUAAGAAAAAUAAUUAGAUUCACAUAACGUGUUACCAUCAGAUGAUUAUAUCAUACUAUAUUGGGUAUUUCUACUUUAAACAUAACAUGACCUCUUCCUCGGAUUAGAACUAUAUUAUUUUGUGAAAUUUACAGACAUGUUUGAAAGUGCUGGCUUACUAUCCCAAUAAGCAUAUAAUUAUCGUAGAAUAACAACAUUUAAAAAUCUCAUGUGCUUUGAGAAUAACACAUCAAAAAGAAAAAGGAUCAAAUACCUAAAAUUUAAAAAAAAUCAAAAAUUAAUAAGAAACAUUCAAUAUUUAGAGGAGGGAGGGAUGUCUACCACAUGGGAAUACGAAAUCUUAAUGGUUUGGGUUGUUACAUAGGACUAGAAAUUUUAUUUUUGAGUUCCAUACUGCAAAGAGUUAAGCAUUGUGAAUGUAUUAUUUCAUUUAUAGGUUGUAAUAUAUUUAUUACGGAAGUUUGAAAGAGACACUUUUUCAUUAGCAUUAGUGAUUUAAAGAUCCUUUACAUUAUGUUCACACCUUCUCUUUUUUUAUACCAAUAUAUGUUUGUAUCAUUAACUGUCCUGAAUUUAUAGUUCAUCUAUCAUCCUCUUGUAUUAUCAUCCUUCCAGUUUUUUAAUUGGAUGAAACACAAUUUGCUGAAGCCUUAUCUAUUAGAGAUGCUUUUAGCACUUCUCUAUUUUCAUUCAAGCAUGGGUAUUGUAUCAUAAGUCAUGAUAUAGAUGAUUUCAUUUAACAAUAUAUCUUUUUUUCCUUAUUCAAAUAAAUAUCUUACUUACAAACUUUUCAGUGUUCUUGUUUCAUGACAUGUACUGCUUGUCAUUGAAAUAUUUUUAAAAUGGCUAGAUUUGAUAUGACUGGGAUCAGAGUUAACCUUAGGGAUGUUCCAGAUUGCAAUAGAGGUUCAAAAACUGAAGGUUUUAGGGAUCCAAUUGGAUGGACCAGACUAUAAUGUCGGUGUACGAUAGUUAUUUCAUAUAUGGUCUGUUUACUAAAAAAAUCACUUCUAGUAUUUCUUUUGCUUGGCUUUAUGUUGUGGUUCUUUUGUUUUCCCUAAUGAUGAAAUACUAAAUAUCUCGAUUAUUAUAGUCAUGCUUACUAGAUAAUGGAAACAUCAUGGAAUUUGUCGCGGUUAUUUAUGAAUACAAUUGAAAAGGGGGAAAUAAGCUUUAAACUACCAAACCAAUGGCCUCUGGCUUAAUUUACUUUUCCUCAAGGUGUCCAGUCCUUCUCAGCAUAUGUGCUUGGGACCUUGCUUAUUUGUUUGAUAUGUGUUUUUUAUUGCUUAUUGGCUUAUGCUAUUGCUACGUUGCCAAUGGAAGAUAUCUAUCAACGCAGCGUGUUGGAUAAGGCCAUGAACAGCUAUACUAUAUCAACUUUAAUUGUAUUAGACACACCACAUAUACUAUAACAACAGUGUAGCAAAAAAACCUAUUCUAGAAUUUACCCCGACUCAGAUAAAGUCGCUAUUACAAUAAUAAUAACAACAUCCCUAGUGAAAUCCCACAAGUUGCUACCUAUAACUUAGAUAACUCGCUGUAAACUAGCAGCAAAGUUGUAACCGAUAGCCCCUAUGUGGUGAUUACCUAUGUUUCUUUGUUCUCUUUUCAUCUUGAAACAGUGAUGAUCCACAAUCUUGGACUAGUUUAAAAUAAUUUAUUGUUAGUUUUGUUGUCAAGAUAUUUUCUCCUUCUGCUCUCUUUGGUAUAAGCAGCGAGACGAUAUAAGCAGCUAAGUAAAAAUGCUAAUUGGGCAUCUAUUUCCUGGUUGGCCAUUUGGUAUUAGUAGAAGAGUUUUGUAAUGCACCUAAGGAUGUGGUCUAGUGGUCAAUAAAGUGGGAGUAAAUCUUGAAGACUAGGCUUUUUAAUUCCUACAAAAGCAUAAACACUAGGCCAUUUAUUUUCCAUUUGUCUUAAGCACACUAGUUUAUCCAAGUUCUUCAACAAAAGUACAAGCUUCAACAAAAUAGUGGUGGCCGUGCUAACUUGCGUGCACCUUGACUAUUUAAUUAGAAAUGUGCUGCACUAUUUAGUUUUGGCAGUAAAAAACUAUAGUAAACAUAAAGUUAACAAUUUUGUACAAGGAAAAGAAAGGCAAGGUUUAGUGAUUUAGGUAGAAUUCUUUAAACAACAAUUAUAGGCAGGAAUCACAGUCCUUGGUACUGGAUCAAUAAAUUACCAUCUCCCCUCAAAUGAUAUGUGAUAGCUCAAAAGGGUUACAAGAACAACUAGAUAAAAGUAGUAGAAGAUGACAAGUGAAAACAGUAUUGCCUUAUUACAAGAAAGUGAAAACACUACUGAAUGGUGGACACAUCAGUUUUCAUACAAUGAUAAUUUGAUGAUAUUUAGGGAACAAAGUAGGGUCUAGGUAGAGUAGGUGUACACAGACCUUACCCCUACCUAAGAGGUAGAAAGGAUGCUUCUAAAAAAAAACCUUGGCUCAAGAAAAUAAAUAAUUCAAAGAAGCCCGAAAAAGGAAAUAACAAAAACACAGAAACCACAGCAAAAUACUCUAGAAAAUAUGAGCAAACAUUCUUAAAAGUAACUACAAAAAAAAAUACGACAAUCAAAUUUAAAAAAGCAGUAGAUAGAAAUAAAAAUCUAGUAACACGAAAUCAGAGGAGUGAUGCUACGACUACUAAUAGGGAAGUGGAUAAGCAAAAUCACCAUGGUUCUACUACCAUUACUUGUCAAUCUAUCUGUGUCCUCCACAACCUCCUAUCUAAAAUCAUAUUCUCGAUAAGCUCCUUGGAAAACUGAAUGUACAUUGCAUGUCACAUUAAAAGAAAAUAAAGAUGUACAACAUCCAAAAUGCAAUAGGAAAAACAUCAUAAUCUUGAUAUUUGUUCUUUGGAAUACACAAUAUAUUACGCGAAUUAACAAGGAGAAUGCAAUGCCCCAUUAUACAAUUACAAUUAUUUAGUAUUAUUAAUAUUCUUCGCAUUUCAAUACUAAUAUAAACAACCAAAAGUUAGAAUACAAUUCAAUACAUUUGUUCAUCAUAUUUUGAAGCAUCAACAACAAAUGCAGUCAAGUAAUGCUAAGACAACUAAUAAGGAAGGAUGCGCGAAAUCACACUCUACUACCACUACCUACUCACCUACUACCCUAAUCGUAUCCUCCACAACCUCCUAUCAAAGAUCAUAUACUCGGUGAGCAGAAAGUACAUUGCACAUCAUAUUAAUAGAAAAAAAAAUGUACAACAUUUAAAAUGCAAUAGGGAUAUCCAAAGUACAUAACACAUCAUAUUAACAGAAAAUAAAAAUGUACAGCAAGAGUAAACGAACAUGAUCACCCAACCCCACACCCCUUAGAGACUGCCCCGCCCUGCCCGCAUAGCAAUAAACCCACCCCACUUCGCUCCUGCUAAAUCCUAUUGAUAUUCCUAGCAGCUAGAUGAUAGAGAGACGAUAAUUGACCAUCCACAAAUUGAUAAAUUUUAUAGUAUAUUAUUGAGUUGUACAAAUAGAAAAAAAUGACAGAUUCUAAUCGAAUAAAGUAGGAAGAAUAAAAUUAGCUCGAACAACCAAGUAAUAAAACUAAUUUAGAAUAAUUUUGAAAGAAAAAGAGCAACUAGAUAGAACGAAAAUCAUAUGUCGAAUUCGCGAGAGAUAUAAAACAGAGAUUAGGGCAAAUUAGUUGCAAUAACUCGAGGAAUUGAAGAAGCAAUUGGCAAAGUUGCUCCCUCACUCAUUGUGCAUCUGCAAAAUUGGUGCGUAUACUGAUCGGAGCUCUAGGGUAAAUUUAUGACCAGCCGUACUGUUAUUUGAGGAUAUGAAAACGAUGUAUAGUACGUACUAGAGAGCUGAUCUUUUAAUUAAUUACGUUUUCAGAAAAUUAAACUAAAAAAGAAAAAGGCAUGUAUUAGUAUAUUUAGUGAAAUAAAAAUAAACUAUUAAAAUUUUAAUAUCAUAUUUUGGCGUUAGUUUUUUCCAUUCAAAAUUCUAAAUUACAAUUUGGGACCACUUAAAAAUUUUUGUAGGGAUCAGGUUUAUAUUUUCGCAAUAAAAUACAGUAUUAAGGAUCGACAUAUAAUCUCGUUUUAAUACAUAUAUUUUUAAAGACGAGAUUAUUAAUUCAUCCCUAAAUAUUGGUCAUAAAUAAAAUAAUUUCUUGUAGUGUUUAGAAUCUUAUUCUAGAAGAAGCUCAUGUGUAUAUAUAUUGAUUGAUGUACCAACCUAAUAAAUGCAAGGAUUAAGAAUCCUACUCUUAACACUAUUAUAUGUCCAAGUGAAUUCUUUUCUUUUUCUACUUGAAAUUGUUUUCAUAAAAUCAAAAAAAAAAAGUGUGUUUUGUUGGCAGAUAAAUAAGUAAGCAUUAUCCGAAGUUAAAUUAGUUGCUAGAGAAAGCUGACAGCUAACUCCAUUUAUGUAAAAAGCUAUAUGCACCAUUAGCAUGAUUUUAAAUUAAACCGUCAUGUUCAAUUAAUAUUAUGGCCCAAUGGUCACCUUUAGCCACCCAAAAAUUAAAUAAAUUAAAAAUUGCAUUCCUUGGUUGCAAAGGCUUGAAAUUACUUACAUAAAUUCCCUAGUUUAUGAUUUUGUAAACAUCAAGCGAUUUAGCAAACACACAUUUCAAACUCUUAGCGACAUUUCUCCGAGGACCAAAAUUCCAAAUAUGGCAUUCAUUGGAGUAAACUAUGUCAUCUUCAGGUACAACUAAAACGCUUAAAAGAGAAGUUGGAGAAAAUAGAGGAAAAUACUCGAAGUAAUAAUAAUGAAAGUGGCAUGGUGAAAAAAGUAACAGUUGAUGAUAAAUUAGGGUUGAACAAAAUUUGAACAAAACCACAAACUGAAUCAAGCCAAAAAAAGAAAAAUCUGACUAAUGGUUUGAUUUGAUUAUGAAAAAAAAAAACAAAUAUAAUUGAUUUGAUUUGAUUUUAACUAAAAAAAAGUCAAAUCUAAUUGAACCAAUCUAAUAUUAUAUUUAUACAAUUUUAAAAAAUAUUUAAUGCAUAAAAAUGUUUAUUGUGAUCUCUUUAUAAAUAUUUUUAAAAAAAUUUCAUUGUUUUUAUCUUUCAACCUAUUAUUUCAAAUUUAAACUUAGAAUUUUGAAUGAUAUAUCCAAUAAGUUGUAUAGUUCAUAGAUAUUCGUAACUCAAAGAAAGCUCAAAUCAAUACUAAUACUAACAAAAAUAUUCAAUUAUAAAACUACGAAUAAUAAUAAUGUUGAAUAUUUGUUCUUUAAUUUUGCAUAAAUACAUAAUCUAAAUUUAUCUUUCUAUUUAAUAUUUAGUCAUGUAAAUUAAUACUUACUAGACUUAAUUUAGCGUGACUAAUAUGUAAUAUUUAUCUUAUAUGAUUUUAUUACUAUUUUUUAUUGAAUAUUUUAUAGUCAUAACUCAUUUUAUGUUGUGUUGUUUUCUUAAGAAAUACCUAAGAUAAUCGAUUUAACAUCAUUAUGAGAGUAUUUACUUAAGCAAAUAUAAUACAUAAUACAAGUAGAUUAACAUCAAUUGAUGAGUAUCACAUAAUACGUCAUUAACACUUAUAACAAUGUCAUAUAAUCCCUAGCAUGCGUCAUGUUAAUGAAAAAUUAUGAUAAUCAUGCUCAGUUUAUCAUAAAACAUGUUAAUUUAGAUUUUACAUCUCAACAUCAUGCUAUAGUCAUAAGUUAACAGAGUAUAACGUAGAGUACUAGCUCGGAAAGACAUACAUUCCCUAGUAAGUGUUUGCCCCACUAGAUAGUUUUAUGCCCAAACCCAAACACGGCAGCGUGCUAACUUGACACCAACCUUCAUUUUGAUAUUUCAACUAGCCAUUAUUUAUUUUAAACAUCUAAACAAAUGUCUUACCAUGUCAUUUUGAUAUCUUUUGCAAGAAGUUUUAACAACCUCAGACGCAUGGAACAAAUGUUUUCUAUAUAAACUAAUUGACUAAUUAAAUCAUGUCAACGCAUUUUAACUGUCCACCUCAUUAUAUACAUAUACAAACAAAUUAAAGAGAAAAAUAAUGAUUAAACACGUGACAAAGUGAUCAAUAAAUUGAUGGUACACGUCAUGUUUUUCAAAUAAAUACAAGACUACUUAAAAAUAUAAUUUACAAACCCUCACCCCCAAGUUGCCUUCUCCAACACACCUAUCCCACCCGCACUCCCCCAAUAUAUCCUCUCCAACAUACCCAACCUCCAACCCCCACAAAUUGUUUUCCCACGCACGCACACCCCUCUCUCCCCCUUGACGUCCUGCAUUGUCUUCUCCGUCAAACCAUCAAGCUCUCUCCAUCUCAUACAGAAAAACUCCUUUGAAGUUAUUUUCAAAAUCAUUUCUUAUAAUAACUCAAGAAAUAAAGAAAAUGACGGCUAAAAAAAUUGAAGAUUCAAAAAUUCUAACCGCCAUCAUUCUUCAAAUUUCUUUCAAUUCAAAACACAUAAAAAAAAACUACAAAAUCAUAGCAGGGGGGGUUUUUUUUUUGCUAAAAAUAAAAUAUGGUAUGAAAGUGCUAACCGAAUGGACAACGAGAAUUUUGUAUGUCUCCUCAAUCUUUAACAUCAAAAUUUCUUGCUCUUUUCUUUUUAUGCUGAAAAGAUGGUUGAAUUAGUUCUGAUCAAUAAAAUAAAUUAUAGUGUGAGGAGAAAGGGGCUACGUACUGCUACUGAGAGAUCAUUGAAGAGCAGAUUUAAAUUUACGCUUGGUGCAACAAUGGGAGAAAGAAGGAGGAGGAGGAGGAGGAAAAUAGAAUUAAGAUUAACUAAAUUAGUCUUUCACGCGUUAUUAGUGAGUGAGAUUCACUCACUUUGUCAAGUAAGUAAAAAGUAUCAAAAUGAAACAUGAGACACUAGUUUAGGUAUUUAAAAUGAACAAUGGCUAGUUGAGGUGUCAAAAUGAAAGUUGGUGUCAAAUCUAACUAGUUGCCAAUGUGUUUGACCUAGUUUAAAAUCAAUUAUGCAACUUAUAUGUCAUGAUUUUGAAAAACAAGCAAUUUAUUUAGUCCAUCAUACUCUAAAAUCGGCUAGCUUCCUAGAUAUAUAUGUUCAUGGCCACGAUUUAUGCAAAAUAUCAAUGAAGGGAAUCAAUUAUACUAGUCGCGGUCAAUUCCAUAAUUUUAGAUCAGUGAAACAUAAUUUUGACUGAAAUUGCUAGAUCAAUUACUUAAAUUGCCGAAUUAAGAAGCAAGAAUUAAUUCAAUGAUUUCAAUUUCAACAUCCAAAUAUCAUGAUUCUCUAACAUAUAUCUCACUUCCGUAUUUUUUGAAUUACUGGGCUCUGAUAUCAUUUGGAGGGUGGUGCGGAUACCUGACGCUCAAGACGUCGAUGCGCCACCGGGUUGACCCUUUUCUUACCAGCAUGGGGAGUUCAGUGAUAUGACUUUCCUACUGACUGAAUUGCUUGAAUUAGUUGAAGGUGCGGAGUCUUCUGCUUUUGAUUUGAGAAGUGAGUAUUGAAAAAAAGUUCUGAAUCUGGGGGAACACUUCACUAUAUAUUAAUAUGUCGGAACCCCCUUUUAUUAUUUUAUUAUUAAAAAUAAUAUAAAUAUAAUAAUAUAAUUUUUGAUAAGGGGCGGCUUCUCCUAUGUCGUGUCAAAUUCGCAUCGAAAAAAAGAGAUUUGUCCUCUCCUAUACUCCUAUAAAGAAAUCAAAAAAAUUUUCUUAAAAUCUCGUCUAAUACUAAUAUCUAAUCACUAACUAAUCUAAAAUCUAAUAAAAUAAUAAGUAAUAAAUUAAGCUUCCAUUUCAACACGGAACGGAACAAAGGGGACAAUAUACAGGAUGGGUAGAAAGAGUUGUGCUACUUGGCUUGAUUCAGGGAAACUACAAACUACAGGAUAGAAAAAAAUAUACCAAUCCUAAGAAUCCGUAGGAUUUAUUGUGGAUCCAAGACAACAAUAGAAAGAUUUGAGUCUUAGAUUUUUAUUUAGUUUUCUAGAUUUUGUAUUUCAAAUCUUGUAUAUCUAGGUAAGUAUAUACUUAGUCAAAAUAUAUGCAAUAGAAUUUUUGUUGUAUUCGGCUCAAUCCUUUUAGUAAAAGAUUGGGCCGAGUUUAAUUGCAAUUCAAUUAAGAGAACGAAGGAUAAUUACUUGAGUUCUUUCUCCUUAUCCUUCGUUAUUUCCUGCUAAUGUCUACUGUUUUUACUUAUCCAAAACGUCCACUGCUGCAAAAUUAAAUACGAUCUCUUUCCAUACCUCACAAGCAGCAGCUAGUUCCGGGCUCCAUUUGGAAGCCUCGCGAAUAAUCUCAUUACCUUCCCGAGCAAGAUCGCGUCCUUCAUUACGAGCUUUUACACAUGCUUCUAGAGCUACUCGAUUAGCUACGGCACCUGGCGCAUUACCCCAAGGAUGUCCUAAAGUUCCUCCACCGAACUGUAGUACGGAAUCAUCCCCAAAGAUCUCGGUCAGAGCAGGCAUAUGCCAAACAUGAAUACCUCCUGAAGCCACAGGUAGAACACCUGGUAAAGAGACCCAAUCUUGAGUGAAAUAAAUACCGCGACUUCGAUCUUGUUCAACAAAAUCAUCACGCAAUAAAUCAACAAAGCCCAAAGUUAUGUCUCUUUCACCUUCAAGUUUACCUACUACGGUACCAGCGUGAAUAUGAUCUCCACCAGACAUACGUAACGCUUUUGCUAAUACCCGGAAGUGCAUACCAUGAUUCUUCUGUCUAUCAAUAACCGCAUGCAUUGCACGGUGGAUGUGAAGAAGUAGACCAUUAUCUCGGCAAUAAUGAGCCAAGCUAGUAUUUGCGGUGAAUCCCCCCGUUAAGUAGUCAUGCAUUACGAUCGGAGCGCCCAAUUCUCUAGCAAAUACAGCUCUUUUCAUCAUUUCUUCGCAUGUACCUGCAGUAGCAUUCAAGUAAUGCCCUUUGAUUUCACCUGUUUCAGUCUGUGCUUUAAAAAGUGCUUCGGCACAAAAUAAGAAACGAUCUCUCCAACGCAUAAAUGGUUGUGAGUUCACGUUCUCAUCAUCUUUGGUAAAAUCAAGUCCGCCGCGAAGACAUUCAUAAACAGCUCUACCGUAGUUUUUAGCAGAUAACCCCAAUUUAGGUUUAAUAGUACAUCCCAACAGGGGACGACCGUACUUGUUCAAUUUAUCUCUUUCAACUUGGAUCCCAUGAGGCGGACCUUGGAAAGUUUUAAUAUAAGCAGUAGGGACUCGCAGAUCUUCCAGACGUAGAGCGCGCAGGGCUUUGAACCCAAAUACAUUACCUACAAUGGAAGUAAACAUGUUGGUAACGGAACCUUCUUCAAAAAGGUCUAAAGGGUAAGCUACAUAAGCAAUAUAUUGAUCUUUUUCUCCAACAACACGCUCGAUGCGGUAGCAUCGCCCUUUGUAACGAUCAAGACUGGUAAGUCCAUCGGUCCAUACAGUUGUCCAUGUACCAGUAGAAGAUUCGGCAGCUACCGCGGCCCCUGCUUCUUCAGGUGGAACUCCAGGUUGAGGAGUUACUCGGAAUGCUGCCAAUAUAUCAGUAUCCUUGGUUUGGUACUCAGGAGUAUAAUAAGUCAAUUUGUACUCUUUAACACCAGCUUUGAAUCCAACACUUGCUUUAGUCUCUGUUUGUGGUGACAUAAAUCCCUCCCUACAACUCAUGAAUUAAGAAUUCUCACAACAACAAGGUCUACUCGACACGAAUUACGCGUUAAUGAAACUUUUCACAGGAAUCUUUCAGAAAAUUUCCAACUAAUACUAAUAUUAUCAAUUAAUCAGAAUGGUUGAUUAUUAGACCAUGGUAUUUGAUUUGCCAAAUACAUCAUUAUUGUAUACUCUUUCAUAUAUAUAGCGCAACCCAAUUUUUAUUUUUUACCUUUUUUUUUUUGAAAUGGAAAUACCUAACUAAACUAAAUAAUAAGAACUUCCCCCUUGACAGUGGUAUAUGUUGUAUAUGUAAAUCCUAAAUGUGAAAAUAUAUGGAAUUCCGCUAUGAAAGGUAUAAAAAAGAAAGAAAAACGCAAAGAAAAGAAUAGGCUAGGCAUAAAUCAAUAUGCUGAAAUUUAACUAAAAAAUAAAUAAGAAAAAUAAGAAGAGGAGCCCAUUAGAUCCAAAUAGUGAAUCGUAAUAGAAAUAUAAAAUAAAGUUCAGGUUCGAAUUCCAUAGAAUAGAUAAUAUGGAUGGGAUUGUCUAUAAUGAUAGACAAAUGAAAGACUUUCUCAAGAUUCUGAUUCAUCCACUUGAGAUUUUUAAAUUAAAAUAGGUUGGGUGAGCUUGCAAAUUAACUCAAUCUCAUUGAAUAAGUAAACAAUUGAAUUGGUUCAAUUGCAUGGUGCCAACGAAAUCGAGUGCUAAUUCCCAUUUUAUUGAAUUAACCGAUCGACGUGCUAGCGGACAUUUACUUUGAAUUCGAUAAUUUUUGAAAAAACAUUUCGACAUAUUUAUUUAUUUUUAUUUUAUUAUUAUGAGAAUCAAUCCUACUACUUCUGGUUCUGGGGUUUCCACGCUUGAAAAAAAAAACCUGGGGCGUGUCGUCCAAAUCAUCGGUCCGGUACUAGAUGUAGCCUUUCCCCCGGGCAAGAUGCCGAAUAUUUAUAACGCUCUCGUAGUUCAAGGUCGAGAUAGUGUUGAUCAACCAAUUAAUGUGGCUUGUGAGGUACAGCAAUUAUUAGGAAAUAAUCGAGUUAGAGCUGUAGCUAUGAGUGCUACAGACGGUUUAACGAGAGGAAUGGAAGUGAUUGACACAGGAGCUCCUAUAAGUGUUCCGGUCGGGGGGGCGACUCUGGGACGAAUUUUUAACGUGCUCGGAGAGCCUGUUGAUAAUUUAGGGCCUGUAGAUACUAGUACAACGUCUCCUAUUCAUAGAUCUGCGCCCGCCUUUAUACAGUUGGAUACAAAAUUAUCUAUUUUUGAAACAGGAAUUAAAGUAGUAGAUCUUUUAGCCCCUUAUCGCCGUGGAGGAAAAAUCGGACUAUUCGGGGGGGCUGGAGUGGGUAAAACAGUACUCAUUAUGGAAUUGAUUAACAAUAUUGCUAAAGCUCACGGGGGCGUAUCCGUAUUUGGCGGAGUGGGUGAACGUACUCGGGAAGGAAAUGAUCUUUACAUGGAAAUGAAAGAAUCUGGAGUGAUUAAUGAAGAAAAUAUUGCAGAAUCAAAAGUGGCCCUAGUUUACGGUCAGAUGAAUGAACCACCAGGAGCUCGUAUGAGAGUUGGUUUGACUGCCCUAACUAUGGCGGAAUAUUUCCGAGAUGUUAAUGAGCAAGACGUACUUCUAUUUAUUGACAAUAUCUUCCGUUUCGUCCAAGCAGGAUCCGAAGUAUCGGCCUUAUUGGGUAGAAUGCCCUCCGCUGUGGGUUAUCAACCGACCCUAAGUACUGAAAUGGGUUCUUUACAAGAAAGAAUUACUUCUACCAAAGAAGGGUCCAUAACCUCUAUUCAAGCAGUUUAUGUACCCGCAGACGAUUUGACCGACCCUGCUCCUGCUACGACAUUUGCACAUUUAGAUGCUACUACCGUACUAUCAAGAGGAUUGGCUGCCAAAGGUAUUUAUCCAGCAGUAGAUCCUUUAGAUUCAACGUCAACCAUGCUUCAACCUCGGAUCGUUGGUGAGGAACAUUACGAAACCGCCCAACGAGUUAAGCAAACUUUACAACGUUACAAAGAACUUCAGGACAUUAUAGCUAUCCUUGGAUUGGACGAAUUAUCCGAAGAGGAUCGUUUACUCGUAGCAAGAGCGCGAAAAAUUGAGCGUUUCUUAUCACAACCCUUUUUCGUAGCAGAAGUAUUUACCGGUUCUCCAGGGAAAUAUGUUGGUCUAGCAGAAACAAUUCGAGGAUUUCAAUUGAUCCUUUCCGGAGAAUUAGAUGGUCUUCCUGAACAGGCCUUUUAUUUGGUAGGUAAUAUCGAUGAAGCUACCGCGAAGGCUAUGAACUUAGAAAUGGAGAGCAAUUUGAAGAAAUGACCUUAAAUCUUAGUGUACUGACUCCUAAUCGAAUUGUUUGGGAUUCAGAAGUGGAAGAAAUCGUGUUAUCUACUAAUAGUGGUCAAAUUGGCAUAUUACCAAAUCACGCCCCUAUUGCCACAGCUGUAGAUAUAGGGAUUUUGCGAAUACGCCUUAACAACCAAUGGUUAACGAUGGCUCUGAUGGGUGGUUUUGCUAGAAUAGGCAAUAAUGAGAUCACUGUUUUAGUAAAUGAUGCGGAGAAGGGUAGUGACAUUGAUCCACAAGAAGCUCAGCAAACUCUUGAAAUAGCGGAGGCUAAUGUGAAAAAGGCUGAAGGAAGGAGACAAAAAAUUGAGGCAAAUCUAGCUCUCCGACGAGCUAGAACACGGGUGGAGGCUAUCAAUCCGAUUUCAUAACUAGUUAGUACGACUAGUUAGUACGUUCGAAUAAUAAAAAGAAGUUCUCUUUCUAAUCCUAUUUAGAUUCUGUCGGGUGAAUACAAUCAAAUACAAUCAAACAGAAGCCAAUUCUGAUGCAAAAAUUCAAAUUUAAAAAUGAAAUAGAAAAGAUACAAAAUCAAAAAAUAAAUAUCACUAAAGGUGGGUCGUAAACCUUAUUAGAUACCAUUGACUCUGGUAUCUAAUAAGUUUUACCUACUAUUGGAUUUGAACCAAUGACUCCCGCCGUAUGAAAGCAGUACUCUAACCACUGAGUUAAGUAGGUCAUUUAUCAUUCCAAAGAGAACCAAACGAAACCCAUCCUGUCGAUGGAUUAUAAAUAUCAUAUUACUUAUAAGCAAUACUAAUCUAAUAAGCAAUACUAAUCUAAGGAAUACCACUCAAAGAGAUCAAAGAUUGUUGAUGUUGGAUCAUGGAAUAUUUAUCUUGACAAGAAUUUAUCUACAUGAUAAAAUAUGUAUCACAAGCACUAAGGGCUAUAGCUCAGUUGGUAGAGCAACUCGUUUACACGCGCGCCAAUGUUUUUCAAGGGAGUUCAUCAUACAAUCAGAAAAAUCGAUCUUGUUGAGAAAUCGAUGUCUUACUCCAUAACUUUGAGGGAACCAUAGCCUGACAAAGGGUUCGGUCCAAUUUGGACGUCCAUUUAGGAGGUGCCAAACAGACCCCAUCAUUGAUUUGAGAUCUUGAUAAGGUGAAUACCCAGUCUAUUCAAUGCUAGGCAUAAUGAGAGUAUAAGGACCUCAAAAAAAUCUCUUUUCGUCAUAUGAACUUUAAGGUGUAUGAAGUUUCAUAUUUGAUUUUUUAAGCAGAAACGAUAGAGACUUCAUUUAACUUAGGUUUAUUUAGGCCAGAGACAGACCUACGUCAAGAUAAUCCCACCUUUGAAACACUUUGGUAAUGCUCCCAAAUAAUGAAUCAGAGCACAUGGAGCCAUUUCCUUAUCUUUUUUUCUGUCAAGAAAAAAAAUGGCAGACUAACUGCUAUAAAUAUCAGUUAAUGAAAGAGCCCAAUGCAAAAAAAAUGCAUGUUGGGUCUUUGAAACAGUUCAGAUCAUUUUAAUAAUAAUAAGUUUGAUCUGUUUUACCGAGAAGGUCUACGGUUCAAGUCCGUAUAGCCCUAUAAAAUAAAAUAAAAAUGAAAAAAUAAAAUUGUAUAAUUUUCAUUUCUUCAUUAUUAUUUCUUGCUUGUAACUAAGUGAAAUUCAACUAUUCCUAUAAGUUUACUCACGGCAAUCGUUUAAGUUUAAGCAGAUGAAAGAAAAAACGCAUAUCAAUGGAUCCAAUCGAUAUUUAUUUUUUCAAUUGCAGAUAAACAAACCAACCUUUCGUCAUUAAUCUUCGGAGGCGAAUUACAUAUUCAUAUCCACAAUAAAAGAAUUAGUGAGACCCCCUUUCUUUUGAUAUCCCCAAUCUUAUUGAAUUUUGGAAGUCAAAUCAUUUCACGGGCCUGGUGAAAUGAAAAACUACGAAGAG